UGCACUGUGAUCACGUUCGCUGAAGUGCUGAACCGUCGUGGUGGGCGGGUGCUCAACCCGGAUCCGGCUUGCCUAUCCCCCUUUCUCGUUGCUCACUUGGAUCAUCUCUUGGCCUGACUCCGCCUUCCCAUCCCCACGGUGGAGCGCGAGAAAGGAGGGCGAGGACGAGAUGACGACCGGGUCGUCCGUCAGCCUCGCUGCCGGGGAGCAGUCGGCCCGCGGUCGCGCGGUGCUGUCCGGCCUGCCGGACACGGCCGGCAUCGUCCUCGUCGGCGAUGGGCCCCGUCGAUGUCGGCCCCCUCAGCGCUAUGAGGGGUGUGCGGUGCGUUUUAUGGUGCGAUGGAUGGCGCUGGGGCAAGGGCGGCCACGGCUCGCACAAGAUUCAGCUCCUGCUCGUGGAGUUAAAGGCCGGUGUUGGGGUCCUCAGCGGCGAGGAGGACGACACGUCGUGUGUACGCAGUGUUCCUCCCGCUCGUGGAGUGAGCGUUUUGGACCAGCCUCGAGGGUGGCCGUCCGGACGGCAACGAGCUUCGGCUCUGCAUCCAGAGCUGCAACUCCGGCAGGCACGCCACUUCUUCGCCCCUCUCAGUCGCCGGUGCUUUUAUUCUGUGUAUGGCGAUGGGGUUGCUUCAUCUGCUCCGUUCAUGUCGUUGAGGUUUUGUGAUGUUUGCCUGUUUCUCGCUCUCGAGUAGGUCCCUGCGUCAAUCUUGCCUUCGGCAUUGAGGUAUUGCAAGGCGCAUCAUUGGACUGAUGUACCAGAAAGGGCAGUGCCACUAGAGAUAAUUAUUCCAGAUCACCUUCUACUUCUUGAUGGAAGUCAUUAUCAGAAUAUUAAUCCAUCACAAGCAAAAUAGGAGACAAGGCAUCAUGAAGCAACUAUAGCAGGCUAUGACAAUUGGUUGUAAUAAAUAAAUGGAGAAUACCCACUGACAGAAGUUUUUGCGCUAAAUAUGUAAGCCAUCCUAAACCCAAUAAAAAACAAAAGAGAACAAUACCGAACCUGAGUAGUAUUCCAAUUUUAUCUCAUUAUUUCAUAUAUAUCUGUCAUCAGAUAAGUAUAUUGCAAAUAGAAGGGUUAAAAACAAAUGUAGAAUUUCUGCCAAAUGAAGCUAUGCAAUAUAUGGAACUAACUUGCAAUAGGAUCCCAUGGGAUUACAACUAUGCGAAGAACAGUCUGCUAAGAAAGAAAUUCAGUCCAGUCAAAACGAAAAUCAGUCUCUUUGGCGUCAGAUUGAACAUAUAAAUGAUGAAGGGGGUGCCAGGCAGGCUCGUUGCAUCCACGUCCUCGCUAUUCCUCGCUAUGAAUAGUGCAAAGCAGCUGGCGAGCGAGCGAAAAAAAAACAAGUGAGAGAUAGAUCCCUGCAGCCACCGCAUGCUUCCUCCAUCUCUCCCCUCCCGCACCAUCCACUUCCUCCCUCUGCGCCGCCUCCUCUCCUCCCGAUUCGCCUCCUCCUCUCCUCCUCUCGCGCCUCCUCUCAUCUCCACCUCCUCUCCAGCUGUCGCCGCUGCGCCAGGGCCUCGCCUCGCCCUGCAGUUCCUCGUGCGCCUUCUCUCAUCUCCGCCUCCUCUCCUGUUGCCGCCGCCGCGCCAGGGCCUCGCCUCGCCCUCACCGCCCACUGGUGACCUCCCAGCUCUUGUUCUCCGCCUAAUCCUUUUGCUUCUCUGUACAGACACUGCUGCAUUUGUUGUCCAUUUUGCCAUCGUGAGCUUCAGGUAGGCUGGUCUGAACGCGCUAUUGAUGCCUUUUUCCUCUGGAGUACCAAGAAAAAUAGCAGAUCAUCCCUGUAGUAGAAGCCAUGCAAGCGCCAUGUAAAAUGGUUUUGAAUCGGAACCGAAGCCAUCUGUUGGAAGUAACAUCUGUAGGGACUGAACCUGUAUGCCACUCCUAGUAAUAUAGAGUGAAGGCAAUAACAACAUUGUUUGUUGUUGGUUUAUAAUCGGUAACUGGCCAAGCUACUUGGCUCACUUUCGUUGCCUUUUGCGGGUCCUUUUGUGGGAUGUUGUUGUCAUUCUCGGCCUUAAUGCUCGGAGGAGGGUCAGGGGCAUUUCCUUCAUGGGAAGAGGGGCAUCUGUGAGGGUAUUGGCCAGAAGUAGGCAAGAGUCCUUUCCUUUUCCACAAGGGGCAGUAGCUGUGCCAUUCGAUUCGGAAGACAAAGAGUUGAUCACAAAGGGGUAGCAUUCAGGACCUUUCCUUUUCCACAAGGGACAGUAGCUGUGCCAUUCGAUUCGAAGGACAAAGAGUUAAUCACAAAGGGAUAGCAUUCAGGAUAUAUACACAAAAGAGUAUGAAACCAAAUUAUAUGAUAUAGUUGACCACUAUUUCUAUUAACUUCUUCUGUACACAAUGUUCAUGAGUUCAUGUAUUAAGUACAUUUUAUUGUGUCACUUGUGUUUACUCUUUUUUUAAUGCAAAUUUACAGCUACUCGGAGUUCCUAA